GACGAACGCUGGCGGCGUGCUUAACACAUGCAAGUCGAACGGAAAGGCCUCUUUCGGGGGGUACUCGAGUGGCGAACGGGUGAGUAACACGUGAGUAACCUGCCCUUGACUUUGGGAUAACUUCAGGAAACUGGGGCUAAUACCGGAUAGGAGCUCCUGCUGCAUGGUGGGGGUUGGAAAGUUUCGGCGGUUGGGGAUGGACUCGCGGCUUAUCCGCUUGUUGGUGGGGUAGUGGCUUACCAAGGCGUUGACGGGUAGCCGGCCUGAGAGGGUGACCGGCCACAUUGGGACUGAGAUACGGCCCAGACUCCGACGGGAGGCAGCAGGGGGGAAUAUUGCACAAUGGGUGGAAGCCUGAUGCAGCAACGCCGUGUGCGGGAUGACGGCCUUCGGGUUGUAAACCGCUUUCGCUCAUGACGAAGCUUUGUGUGACGGUAGUGGGUAAAGAAGCACCGGCUAACUACGUG
rnacentral:rRNA from 1 species